AAAAAAAUUUAUUUACUUGCAUAUAAAUACAAUUGCACAUGAUGAAGGUCACCAUAUUACAAUGGAAAAAAAUAACUUAUAUUGGAAGAUGCUACUUCUGACCUUUCUCUGGUUACUUGUUGUUUGGUCACUGGUGAGUAUGGUUGAAAUGCAAACAUGUGGAGAGGAUUAUGAAGGCUCAGGCCUUGAGAGAUAACGGUAUGACUGGCUACAUAUCUAGUAAGAAGACUAUGGAGAUCAACCCUGACAUAUA